ensembl:lncRNA
GGUUAUUUGUUCCUUAGACCCUGGGAUAACACAUCCAAGCCAUUACGUUAGAGUCUCAGAAUGUACUCAGUGGAGCUGUGCUUUGAGGCAGCCAACAUUUCUCUGCUCUCCUUAGAAAUGCAGUCUCCCAAUGGAAGCUUUAUGCUCUUUGUACUGGGAAAGUGAGGAUGAUUUGAUAGCUUUAUUGGGGUCAUGUCUUCCCCAAGGUGUGGGGAACUUUAGCUUACUUGGCUUUUGAGGUAUCAUCCCUCUAUUCUCCCCUCCUGUCUUUCCAUGACCCUCUGGAUUGAGAGAGGUAAAGACUGACAGACACCAGCGUAGGCUGGAAAAGGGAGUGUGUGACCAGAGUGCCAAAAAUGACUAGGAGCAGGUACUGCUCCGACUCAGUUUGGAGAAUGGGAAACGGGACAGUAAGCACAAUGCCCAGUAGUACUUGAUUUCCAAGGACCCUGGAACCCUACACAUGAGAGGCUUAGGGUCACCAUCUGCUCAAGAGGAUCCCCUCUGAUCUACAGGCCUUUCCCCUAGGUGUCUACGUCCUCAUUUUUGUUCAAUUUGGGUUCUGAGCCCUCCCCAAAAACCAUUGUUUUAAACCUCUUGGCAGGGCCCCAAAACAACCUCCCUCAUACUCAUCAUAUUCCCUCUGCCUCCUGCUGCCCUCGUGGGCAGUGCUCUGAGCAGUGACCUCCCUUUCCUCCAUGGAAGUAGCUAGUGCAGACACCUUCACCCCACCUCACCUGAGUCCCCUCAACCAAGAGGGUGACUGAAUUUCGGCCUGAUUAUGCCCUCCUGGAGCUCCUGUGAGGUGGAGCCAAGGGCCCCUCUCUGUUCCUGUUUGUUUUAAAAUAUUGUUGUGUGUUUUGUAUCUGUGGCACUGGCCUGCAGCAUACUCUGUACAUAUUGUAAAGAAACCGUUUGGAGUAAUUUUCUUUUGCAUUGGGCAGGUAUGGCCCUGCAUUCCUGCCCUUUCCACUCGUUCUGUAACAGAGGAUGAACUUCCUCUGGGCAGCCUUGGGUUCUCCAGAAGAGAACAGGUUUUUCUUUUCCUUUUUAAAUUUUCUUCUUAAACAUUUGGCUCUUUGAUCCUCAUAUCCAAGUCUCCCUGAAGAGUAGGAGCUGCUCAGAAGAGCAGGUGAAAGCCUCAAUGGCAGAUCCUGAUGCUUGCCGGGCCUAGUCUUCCCUCCAAAAUGACAUGAAGCAGCAGCUGUGGAGAUUCUUGACAAGUGCUGAGUGAAAGAUUUGCUGUCCACCUCUACAUGGGGAGGAGAAACACAGGUGGGAGCUACCUGUGGCAUCCAUGAUCUAGUCAGAGGGAUGAGAUGCUCAGCAGGGAUCCCCAUCCUAUCCCACCCCACAAACAAAGGCUGGAAAAAUUUGCUACCAAGGGCCAAGACCACCAGACCAAGCCUGUCUCUGAGCCACCCCUGCCCAGGCCCUCACAGACAUUGCUCCCUGGGCUUCCCAUCGAGGAGAAGCUGAAGAGAGAGGGGGCCUCAUCCCCAGAUAGAUCAGGCAAGGCUUGGAGAGCUGCUCUUUAAGAUCCACAUCAACUACUUCCUCAUUUUAAGGUAUGGCAGUUUCCUUCAUCCCCUUUUCCUGCCUUGUACAUGUACAUGUAUGAAAUUUCCUUCUCUUACCCAACUCUCUCCAUACAUCACAAGAUCAAAGAACCACACGCUUAGAAGGGUAAGAGGGCACCCUAUGAAAUGAAAUGGUGAUUUCUUGAGUCUCUUCUUUCCAGGUUUCAAGGGGCCAUGGGAGGACUUAGAGAGUUGCGAGUGAAGACUGCAGAGGGCUAGGAAAGUAUUGUAUACAGGUUUUGAGGCCACCCAUGUCACUUAUCCCGUAUACCCUCUACCAUCCCCUUGUCUAUUCUGAUGCCCCCAAGAUGCAACUGGGCAGCUAGUUGGCCCCGUAAUUCUGGGCCUUUGUUGUUUGUUUUAUUAUUUGGACUUCCCAGGAAGCUUUCCAGUGAUCUCCUACCAUGGGGCCCUCCUGGGAUCAAGCCCCUCCCAGGCCCUGUCUCCAGCCCCUCCUGCCCCAGCCCACCCGCUUGCCUUGGUGCUCAGCCCUCCCACUGGGAGCAGGUUGGGGCGAGCUGGAGGCCCGGGCUGGAGGGGCAGUGUUGCUGUUCAUAGAUUUUGUUCCAUUGGCGUUGCUCUGUUGGAUUUAAUUUCAGUCUUCCUGAUUCUUCCCUUCUGUAAAGUGUACAUUACCAAGUUCCUUGUUUUUUAUAUAUAUAUAAAUAUAUAUAUAUACAAACUGUACUCUUUUUGCCUUUGUACAUUCAGGCAAGAAGAGAAAAUAAAUCUUUUUAAGAGACAAUCACAAAUCUGUGAGGGCUGCUGGUUAUUUCUCCUGGAGUUUGCUGCUGAGCUGCCUCUUCCUUCCUCCCAACUUUCCUGUUCCCCCUCAGCUUUCCUGAUCUUCCUGGCCCUGCUCCAUAUGCAUCCUCAGCUUCACUUUCCCUGGCUGAUGGCAAGUUGUUGAAUCCAGUGUCCAGACUACCUGCCUUGUAACCCUUUUCUGCCCAGCAUUGUUUUCUGGCUUGGCCAGUGGCUUAGCCCAGGAGCUUUACUCUGUGCCCUGGCCUCCCCUCUCUUCACCUUUAGAUUCCAUUCACCGAAGUGACUUUGGACCCCUGGGUACUCUGGGACCUGUUUCCUGGAGGCCCUGGCUUGGGAAACUCACCUGUGAAACUAUGCAGCUGGGAGCUCUCUGCCUAAGAGUUUGCACUAUUUAAACCUGCCUGGGAGUUAGGACGGAUGGUUUUAGGAAUGACCAGGAAACUACCCCUAAAACUCCCCCUACAUUCCAGCCUCUAGAAUGCUCUGAUCCAGAGCUCAGUGGAUGAUUCCCAGCUGGUGGACUCUGUGGCUACCCCAUCAGAACAAGGGCUAAGGGUUUAUGGGUCAAGAGUAUUUGAUCAGAAUUUUAAAGGGUGGUACACUCUGAAACACAGCCCAACCAAACCAUUUGUUUGGCCUCUUUCUCUUUUCCUCUACCUUCCUCCUCCCCCCUUUUUCCCCUCUACUUCCUCUUCUUAAUUGGCUUUGGAAUUGAAGUAUAUUUUUAAAUUAUUUGUUGUAUUUAUUGAAUAAAGUUUUUAAUGUCCCUGUUCUUAAA